ensembl:lncRNA
CGUGACUGAGAACGAGGCUGCUGGCAGACCCCUUAGUCAAACAGCUCUCAUCUGGCCCCCCUUCACAGGAGUAGCCUGAAACAAUGUUCUAAAGAUGGUUGACAUCUAGUGGAAGCCUUAGGAAGUGCAAAAUAACCCAUAUCCCACUGUGUAUUCGAUAGGGGUGAGUUAAAAAACUACAAACCUCAGAUUUCCCACUUCCUGGUUGGAUUUUUUCUCAGGUUUUUGCCUGCCAUAUGAGUUCUGUUAUACUCACAGACAUCAUUCAAACACUUUUAGAAACUUCAGAGUGUUUUCUAUCCAAUACUAAUAAUAAUAUGCAUAUAUUAGCAUCUUGGACUGAGUAGAAGGCAGUUUACUCUGGGCAAACUAUUCAUCCAAAGUGAAAAUACUGCCCCCUAUCCCACAGAAGUUUUAAGAAACGUUCCCCAACAGAAUUGGAGGAAUGAAUACGCCCCUGAUCACACACAAACACAGUUCACUUUCAUAGCAGCAGUGCUUAAUUUGAGCCCGAUCGUCACCUCUCCGUUUUGGACUGUUUUGUUCCAUUUUUUGGCCGGAUCUGGUACCUUUUCAUGGCAUGAAAAAUAAUGAUCACUUUUUGCAAUGUAAAAAUUUAAAUAAACACAAUCAAAGUCCAUUCUCGUUGCCUCUUCCUUAUUUCUCCUGCCCCCCUGCAUCUGUCACAGAACUAGAAUGAGAUUCACUUUCUGUGAUCUCUCUCCCUCUGCUCUGAUAGACAUGAGCCUGCAACUCUCGUGGCACUUCAUAAUUGAUUUCCUCAUAGAACAAUAGCCACGUGAGGGGUUCUGCAGCAUGCAUUAGAAAUUGAAAGAAAUUUGUCUGUUCAAAAAAAAAAAAAAAUCAGAAUAGCCUACUACACCAUUAGCAAGCCUAAACUUUUGCCAUAGAGGAUAAAUUGCUUAUUUUUAAUAGCCUAGUUGUGGAGUGUAGCCCAAUUACAAGGCAUAGCAUACAGUCGGGAAGUUGUUUUCAUUGAUCUCAGAUUCUCAGUUUGUCAGUGUCAAAGUAGUCUGGCAUUUGAUCAUUUGUGCGGUAUUAAAGGUGCUUUCAAGAUGACUGGAAACACGGGAAAAA